rnacentral:rRNA from 1 species
GACGAACGCUGGCGGCGUGCUUAACACAUGCAAGUCGAACGGAAAGGCCCUGCUUUUGUGGGGUGCUCGAGUGGCGAACGGGUGAGUAACACGUGAGUAACCUGCCCUUGACUUUGGGAUAACUUCAGGAAACUGGGGCUAAUACCGGAUAGGAGCUCCUGCUGCAUGGUGGGGGUUGGAAAGUUUCGGCGGUUGGGGAUGGACUCGCGGCUUAUCAGCUGGUUGGUGGGGUAGUGGCUUACCAAGGCUUUGACGGGUAGCCGGCCUGGGAGGGUGACCGGCCACAGUGGGACUGAGGUACGGCCCAGACUCCUACGGGAGGCAGGGGUGGGGAAUAUUGCACAAAGGGCGGAAGCCUGAUGCAGAAACGCCGCGUGCGGGAUGACGGCCUUCGGGUGGUAAACCGCUUUCGCCUGUGACGAAGCGUGAGUGACGGUAAUGGGGAAAGAAGCACCGCCUAACUACGU